UACGUAGGUGGCGAGCGUUAUCCGGAAUCAUUGGGCGUAAAGAGGGAGCAGGCGGCCUGGAGGGUCUAUUGUUAAAAGGCAAUGGCUUAACCAUUGCAAGGCGAAGAAACCGGCAGGCUAGAGUUCUAAAGAGGAUCGUGGAAUUCCAUGUGUAGCGGUGAAAUGCGUAGAUAUAUGGAGGAACACCAGUGGCGAAGGCGACGAUCUGGGAAGAAACAGACGCUGAGUCCCGAAAGCGUGGGGAGCAAAUAGG
rnacentral:rRNA from 1 species